UCACUGAUAUAAGGAGCAGGAUGAGUCUGUUUGUCACUGGAUUGUCUCGUCUGUCAAGCAAGGAGGCAAGGCAGCUAUGCUAAUAGGGGACAUGGACAUAGCGAGACUUAUGGUAUAUGUGCAGCAAGUUUAGGAAGAGAAGUUGAGGGAUAGAGAAGAAUUCAGAAACAAGAAAGCUAAGACAGGGAAUAAGUCUGGGCAGCAAAGGGGUAAUGUGAACCGUUCUUCCUUUCAACCUAAGCAAAAAGGACCUGCUCCAUCAUCUGCUAGUGCACCUGCACCAAAGAACAAAGGUGAGUAUAAUACUCAGAAUUUCAGAGCUAGACCUGCUCAGUCUCAAGGUAGUGUGGCACAAAGAGGUAAUUGGGUUCCUACAUGUGCUAAGUGUGGUAGGAACCAACCAGGUAAAUGUCGUGAUGGCUCCACUGGUUUUUUCAAGUGUGGUCAAGAGGGUCACUUCAUGAAAGAGUGCGCUAAGAACCGGCAAGGCAAUGGGAAUCAAGGCAAUAGAGCUCAAUCUUCAUCAGUUGCUCCACUAGACAUAGCUGCAUCUAGAGGAGCUACUUCAGGUACUGGCGGAGGAUCAAACCGUCUAUAUUCUAUCACUAGUCGUCUAGAGCAAGAGAAUUCUACAUAUGUUGUCACUGGUAUGAUCAAAGUCUUUACUCUUGAUGUUUAUGCUUUGCUAGACCUAGGAGAGAGUUUAUCUUUUGUGACUCCUGUUGGGGAGUCUAUUCUAGUUGAGUGAGUCUAUCGUAAUUGUACUAUUUCCGUCAAUCACAAGAGCGCCAUGGAUGAUUUAGUUGAGUUAGACAUGGUUGAUUUUGAUGUUAUUCUUGGCUGGCUACAUGCCUGUUAUGCCUCCAUUGAUUGUAGGACUCGAGUUGUCAAGUUUCAGUUUCCUAAUGAGCCAGUUAUAGAGUGAAGUAGUAGUUCAGCAGUGCCUAAGGGUCGUUUCAUUUCGUACCUUAAGGUCAGAAAGUUAGUUUCCAAGGGUUGUGUCUAUAACUUAGUCCAAGUUAAUAACUCUAGUGUCGAGACACCUCUUAUUGAGUCAGUUCCAAUUGUGAGUGAGUUUCCAGAAGUCUUUCCUGACGAUCUACCCGGAGUUCCUUCUGAGAGAGAAAUAGAUUUCGGUAUAGAUCUUCUUCCCGAUACUCAUCAUAUAUCUGUUAACUGCCAUAUAGAAUGGCUCCAGCAGAGUUAAAAGAGCUAAAACGAAUAGUUGAAAAGAUUCUCUUUUGAUAAGGGUUUUAUUGACCAAGUGUCUCACCUUGGGGCGCUCGGUCUUAUUUGUGAGGAAGAAAGAUGGGUUACUCUUAGAAUGUGUAUAGAUUACCGUCAGUUGAACAAAGUUACUAUCAAGAAUAAGUAUCCUCUUCCGAGAAUUGAUGAUCUCUUCGGUCAACUUCAGAGUGCCACUUGUUACUCUAAGAUAGACCUCAGAUAUGGCUACCAUCAGUUAAGAGUAAGGGAAUGUGAUAUUCCAAAGAUCGCAUUCAGGACCCGUUAUGGUCAUUAUGAGUUCCUAGUUAUGUCCUUUGGUUUGACUAAUGCGCCUGCAGCAUUCAUGGACCUUAUAAAUAGAGUAUUCAAGCCUUAUUUAGAUAUGUUUGUUACCGUGUUCAUUGAUGACAUACUAAUCUAUUUGAGGAAUGAGGAAGAUCAUGCUAGCUAUCUCAGAAUAGUUCUCCAGACUCUAAAGGAUAAGGAGUUGUAUGAUAAGUUCUCUAAAUGUGAGUUUUGGCUUGAGUCUGUGGCAUUCUUGGGUCACAUUGUUUACAGUGAUGGGAUUAGAGUUGACAGUCAGAGAAUAGAGGCAGUGCAGAAUUGGCCUAGACCCACAUCUCCAACUGAUAUUUGGAGUUUCUUGGGGUUGGUUGGAUAUUAUAGAAGGUUCAUAGAGGGGUUCUCAUCUAUUUCGUCCCCUUUGACCAUGUUGACUUAGAAAAUAGUGAAGUUUCAAUAGUCUGAAGUUUGUGAGAAAAGCUUUCAGGAAUUGAAAAGGAGGUUGACUACAGCCCUAGUAUUUACCUUAGCAGAAGGUACUCAAGGUUUUGUUGUGUAUUGUGAUGCUUCCAGAUUUGGUUUGGGUUGUGUGUUAAUGCAGAAUGAUAAAGUUAUAGCGUAUGCCUCCAGACAGCUAAAAGUUCACAAGAAGAAUUAUCCAACCCAUGACCUAGAAUUGGCUGUCGUAGUGUUCAUGUGGAUGUGUUCGCCGAUCACAAAAGUCUUCGGUAUGUGUUUAGUCAGAAAGAGAUUAAUCUCAGACAGAGGAGGUGGUUAGAGUUACUCAAGGAUUAUGACAUGAGUAUUCUUUAUCACCCAGGUAAGGCUAACGUUUUUGUUGAUGCAUUGAGUAGGAUAUUUAUGGGUAGUACCGCCCAUGUGGAGGAAGAAAAGAGAGAGUUAGCUAAAGAUGUACAUAGACCUGCACGAUUAGGAGUUCGCCUAAUGGAUUCCACUGAAGGAGGAGUAGUUGUGAUUAAUGGAGCUGAAUCAUCAUUAGUGUCUGAAGUUAAAGAAAAACAAGACCAAGACCCUAUUUUUCUUGAAUUGAAGGCAAGUGUUCAUAAGCAAAAAGUAAUGGCUUUUGAACAAGAGGGAGAUGGCGUUUUGAGGUAUCAAGGUAGGUUGUGUGUACCAAGGGUGGAUGAACUCUAAGAGAGGAUCAUGGAGAAAGCUCAUAGCUCCAAAUAUUCCAUUCAUCCAGGUUUCACAAAGAUGUAUCGUGACUUGAGAGAAGUUUAUUGGUGGAAUAGUAUGAAGAAAGGUAUCGCAGAGUUUGUUGCUAAGUAUCUGAAUUGCCAACAAGUUAAGGUAGAGCAUCAAAGGCCCAGUGGUAUGGCUCAGAAUAUAGAGAUUCCGGAAUAGAAGUGGGAGAUGAUCAAUAUGGACUUCAUUACUGGGUUGCCUCGGUCUCGCAGGAAACAUGAUUCUAUUUGGGUGAUUGUUGAUAGAAUGACAAAAUCAGCCCACUUUUUACCGGUAAAGACUACCCAUUCAGUAGAGGAUUAUGCCAAGUUGUAUCUUCAAGAGGUGGUUAGACUUCAUGGAGUUCCAGUUUUAAUUAUUUCAGAUAGAGGUACCCAAUUUACUGCAUAGUUUUGGAAGUCUUUCCAGAAAGGUUUGGGUUCGAAGGUGAACUUAAGUAUUGUUUUUCAUCCUCAGACAGAUGGUCAAGCAGAGCGCACUAUUCAUACUCUAGAAGAUAUGUUGAGGGCCUGUGUGAUUGAUUUCAAAGGUAACUGGGAUGAUCACCUACCUCUCAUUGAGUUUGCUUAUAACAAUAGUUACCACUCUAGCAUCCAGAUGGCUCCGUAUGAAGCUCUUUAUGGGAGAAGAUGCAGAUCUCCAAUUGGAUGGUUUGAGGUUGGUGAAGCUGGGUUGAUAGGACCAGACUUAGUUCAUCAAGCUAUGGAGAAAGUGAAAGUUAUUUAAGAGAGGUUGAAAACAACGCUGAGUCAUCAGAAAUCUUACAAUGAUGUUAGGAGAAGGGAGUUAGAGUUUGAGGUAUAUGAUUGGGUAUACUUGAAAGUUUCACCCAAGAAGGGUGUUAUGAGAUUUGGUAAAAAGGGGAAGCUUUGUCCCCGGUAUAUUGGCUCUUAUAGAAUAUACAAAAGGAUUGGUAAUGUAGCUUAUGAAUUGGAGCUACCACAUGAGUUAGUAGCGGUCCAUCUGGUAUUUCACAUUUCCAUGUUGAAGAAGUGCAUGGGAGAUCCUUCACUUAUCAUACCAACUGAAGCUAUUGGUAUCAAGGAUAGCUUGUCUUAUGAGGAGAUCACUGUUCAGAUUCUAGACCAUCAGGUUCGCAAGUUGAAGACCAAGGAAGUAGCAUCGGCCAAAGUUCUUUGGAGAAAUCAGUUUGUUAAGGGAGAUACUUGGGAAGCUGAGGAGGAUAUGAAGAAGAGGCAUCCACACCUCUUUGAUCCAGGAGAAAUUCCAGACCAAGGUACUAAUUCUUUUCUUAGUACUCUUUAAUUGAUAUGCUUAAUGUGUUAAAUUUGUUUGUUGGGUGUUUGAGUUGAAUAUUAGAUGUUACACCAUUAGUCUACUUAGAGUGAUCUCAUUUGAGGACGAAUGUUCCCAAGGGGGAGAUAUUGUAACACCUCCCUAAGUGAAAGAGUUAGAAUUAGAAAGAUUCAUUUUUGGAAAGAAUGAAAAAUCUAGAAAUUUGUUUAAGUGAUGUUAAGCUUGAGUUUUGGGUCAACUUCAAACGACCAUAACUCCUAUCUUAUGAUGAGUUAGGUGUGCUACUAGAUACCGUAGGAAAGAUCUUUGAAUUACCUUUCCAAUAACGCUGCUGAGUUUGCUCAAUUCUGAGUUCGUAUGAGGGAGAUAUGGCCAUUAAAAGUUGGGUUGUCUAGUUAAGGAAAGUCAAAACCGGAUUUUAGAAGGGUAUUAUGGUCUUUUCACUACACAAUUUAUUAAAUUUGUUUUUGGUAAUUAAGUUGGGGUCUCAACUGAUAGGAUUCAGUUUACGCUAUUGAAAACAAGUUAGGGUUUUGAGAUAAGAGAUAAGAAGAGGAGAAAGGAGGAGAAGAAGCAAGGAUUUGUCGCGUUCUUGAAGUUAAGCUCGUUGAUUUCGCCAAGGGUUGAUCCCUACGAGAUAUGUGAGAUCACAUAGCAUUGGGUUAGUUCACCCACGCGCCAAACAUGAUUAAAUUCGGCGUAUUUGUGUUCUUGAAAGAAAAGCUUAUGAGUUCUUGAUGAAUUUUGUUGAAGUUUCGUUUGAAUCUCGAUUGUGGAGUUUUUGGAGGAGUUCUUGAUGUGAUUUAACGAGAUUUAAGGUUGUUUUUUAGUUUAUUCUUGUAUAUUUUGGUUAUGUAUUCAAAUCUAAGCAUUUGGGGAAGGAACCAUUUGAAUCUAGAGGGUUUAGAGUUGAAAAAUGAGCAAGAAAGUUCGGGGAUUUCUGGGGAGGGGUCUGGGGAGUCGCGCCAGCCAGAGCUCCCCACUUUGUGCUCUGUAGUUUGAGCUCUGGGGCGCCGCGCCAGCCAGUGCGCUCCAUCCCUAGUUCUGAAGUUUUCCCUCUGGCUCCCCGCGCCACUCAGAAGUGUCUGGAAACUGUUUGCAGAAGUUGCUGGAAUACAAGUCUAAACAUGCUUUAAUACUAGGUGUGAAUAGAAUGAUUCACUUGUUGGUUAAGGUAAGAUAUUCAUGGCUGAAGGAAAUAACUAAUACUUGGCCACUGCUUGUUAAACAUUUGGAAGAGUAUACUCCUUUAAAUUGUUGCAAGGUGGUGACUUGGAAACUACCAUCUCGGGGAGGAUUUUUAAAGGUAAUACUGAUGGGUGUAGCAAAGGGAAUCCCGGUCUUAGUGCAGUGACAUUUUGUAUUAGGAAUGAUGAAGGUGAUCUGAUAAAUGCUGAAGCAAAGAAAAUAGGGGAAGCUUCAGCGAUCGAAGCUGGAAUGAAAGCAGUGAAACUGGGUCUAGAGUAUUGUGUUCAAAAGGGUUAUCUACCAUUAACUAAUUAAACUGAUUCAUUGAUUACUAAAAAUAUCAUAGAUGGAGUUUGGGACGUUCCUUGGAUUUUUACUAUGGAUGUGAAAAGCACAAAGGUUUCAAUGCACAGUAGGAACGUGGAGGUGAUUCACACAUUCAGAGAAAGGAAUAAACUAGCUGAUUUUUUUAACUAACAAUGCUAUUCAUUUUGCAGGUAUAGAUACAAAGAGAUAUUUUCACAUACAUGAGUUACCAAAAAUAGCACAAGCCAUCAUUCAAUUGGAAAAGAAUCAAAUCCCAAAUUUGAGAAUAACAAAAGAUGCAAAACAAAGGCUUUACCAGAAAUGCACAUAAUACAAGCAGAUACACAGGGCAUGACAUGAACAACAACAAGGAAACAAAUUAAGGACAAGGGUAUUACAUUACAACAACAAGAAAUUAAAAUCGCUGAUCUUAGAGCUCAAUAAAGUGUUGAGUACGUUCAUUUCUGUUAUAAGAUCGAGAUUAGGGUGCUUACCUCUCUAGUCAUAUAUGGUGGUAUUAGCUUCUUCGGAGCUCAUCCCGUGUAAGAUCGAUGAGAUACGGAGAAAGAUGCUCUAAAAUUGAUGAUGAGCUGAAAUGGACGUCUAAACGAAUCUUUCCAUAAAGUGAUUUGUGUGAGGUCGUCUUCAUCUUGCAGCUCUAUCUCAGAUAAUAUUUUCACUCAUCAAGCUGAAGAAGUCUUCCUAGGUGUUGAAUCAUGGCCUCAGUGAGAGCUUUUGACGUAUAAGUGAUUUCACUCUGAAAUCGGAGGCGUUGAAGAUUUCAGCUGGUCUAGUGGAUACGGUGAGGGCGAUCAAUUGGCCAACUUUCCAUCGGAGAAGAUGAAGCUUCAUCUGGAGAUUUGAGGAAAGUCAGUUGACCUUUUUGGGGAUUCAAUUUCCAAAUGGGUUUCACUGCUUUGUUAUUUAAUUUUGUUGUUUCAUUUCUCAGGUUUGGGCCUUUUGGGUCUUGAGUCUUGAC
rnacentral:lncRNA from 1 species